UGGUACCGCUCCAGGGGAUGGCCCGGGGGCCCCACGGGUGUGGGUGGGUCGCCGAUGGUAGGUGGCGAGGGAGGAUUGAAGUGGAUUGCGCGGCCGGGCCCGGUCCGCGGCCUAGACCGCCGGGGGUUCUACCUCGUGGCGGCCUUGGGGAUGUGUGAGGAGGGUCCCAUAGAGCCCCACACGAGUUUGAGAGGGUAACGGCCCGGGGUAAUACCUCAGGCGUUAAGUUACGGGGUCUUGCCUACUAGCGUGUUACGCGUAAGAUGUGGUCGUGGAAUAUGGCGAGGUCACGUGCCCGCGGUGGCUACAACCAAUAGGUCUUGGUUUUUGUAGGUUUGGAUUUUUUUAACUGCACUGGGCUUUAAGGAGGUUGUUUUUGCAGCUAAAUGGGAAACGUUGUGUGAAAUGCAGUAGUAGCGUUAUGGAAGGAGUAAGGAUCCCUGAACAGCUGGGAUGUGCAUACAGUGUAGAAAGGUUAAGGAUUGCCUUCACAUUCCAAGGUUGUCAGGCUUUGAGAAGCACUUGGACCGGACCGUGCUCUCAGGCACGCGUGGUGACUCUUGGCCAUAGUCCUGUACAAGUGUAAGAGUUGGACUCCGUGGUCCUUGUGGGUCUUAACUCAGCACGUUUAAAGAGAAAUGGCUCACUUCCAUAUGCUCUGCACAUGAUGAAAACUAUGUUGGUAGGGACAUCUGAGAGGGUGAUGAAUGCCAACAUAUCUGAGCUGGGCUUGGAAUACUUAUGGUGGCCUGUCCAGGGUGGCUGAGACACCACGUGGGCCUUUCUAAGCAGCCAAAGUUCAUGCCUGCCCGGCUGACACAUUCAACAUGUAUCAGCUACACUCUUCCUUCUUGUGGCUUCAGUACAGAUCUGCCCCCAAAUGUGGAGACUUGAUAUUACUUCUUCCCAAGGAUUUGAAUCUUGCACUUGAGAGAUAUGCAGAAGGAACAUCACCUGGCACUGGGAGAUUAAGCUACAAGCUGAUACGAGGCUGUUGUGGACAGAGGAGCCCCAUUCCUUUUGUGUGAAAAACUAUUUCACCUGUUACUGAUGUUGGUGAAGACAAGGCCUUCCUAAUUGAAGGCUUCCAAAUAUUUCUCAUUGUAAGGUGUGAUGGAGCUGGGAAGUGAUGCCAGCAAAAGGUGAAACUUGCAUGGAGUUUGUGUGAGAAACAAGAUGGGUGUAUCUGAGGAAGGGAUUGUGCUGUCUGCAGCCCCACUGGGUGAAGAGGCAAAACUCUGAAACUAAUGUAUGAAGAAUUGAGAAAGUGAGUGUAACUGCUGUAAUAAUGAAAUGUAUUUGUUGGAACAAGUGAUGAUAACCUUAGCUUGAACUCUCUCACUGAACAGAGAUGAAAUUCUAAGGUCUGAGAUGUUCCCAGCAAAGUGUGUUGUGCUGGUUUGGUACCUGACAAUGGUUCUUAUGUCUGUCUUAAUAGGUGGAACAUUGCUGAUAAAUGGGUUACACUUGCAUGAACAGCAUUAGAAAAGCUGAUGUGUUUUCACCUCACUGAUAAUGUUUGCCUGACACUGGUUGGAGCCAAUAAAAAUCUGCAAACUCUA